rnacentral:rRNA from 1 species
AUACGGAGGGGGCUAGCGUUGUUCGGAAUUACUGGGCGUAAAGCGCACGUAGGCGGAUUAAAAAGUUAGAGGUGAAAUCCCAGGGCUUAACCCUGGAACUGCCUUUAAAACUAGUAGUCUAGAGUUCGAGAGAGGUGAGUGGAAUUCCAAGUGUAGAGGUGAAAUUCGUAGAUAUUUGGAGGAACACCAGUGGCGAAGGCGGCUCACUGGCUCGAUACUGACGCUGAGGUGCGAAAGCGUGGGGAGCAAACAGGACUAGAAACCCCAGUAGUCC